rnacentral:rRNA from 1 species
UACAGAGGUCCCAAGCGUUGUUCGGAUUCACUGGGCGUAAAGGGUGCGUAGGAGGGCAGGUAAGUCAGUGGUGAAAUCUUCGAGCUUAACUCGGAACUGCCUUUGAUACUGCAAAUCUCGAGUCCGGAAGAGGUGAGUGGAAUUCCUAGUGUAGAGGUGAAAUUCGUAGAUAUUAGGAAGAACACCAGUGGCGAAGGCGGCGUCCGUGGACCAACACUGACACUGAUGAGCGAAAGCCAGGGGAGCAAACGGG